AACGCACAUUGCGCCCGCCAGCAUUCUGGCGGGCAUGCCUGUUCGAGCGUCAUUUCAACCCUCAGGCUCGCCCUGGUGUUGGGGACCUGCACCCUGCAGCCCCCGAAAGGCAGCGGCGGACCCGUCCGGCUCCGAGCGUAGUACUAUACGUCGCUUAGGGCGCCCGGGCGGGCUUCCAGCCGGAAAACCCCCUAUUUUCUCAAGGUUGACCUCGGAUCAGGUAGGAAUACCCGCUGAACUUAA
rnacentral:misc_RNA from 1 species